rnacentral:rRNA from 1 species
ACAUGCUUACAACAUAGCAUUAAUGCAUCGUACCCCAUUAGAACUCUGCAGUUAAGCACGCUCAGGAUAGAGUAGUACUGGGAUGGGUGACCACCCGAGAAGUCUUAGUAUUUUACAUUCC